rnacentral:rRNA from 1 species
CUUCACUGAGAAGAUAGUGGCGAACGGGUGAGGUAACACGUGGGUAACCUAGCCCAGUAAGAGGGGGGAGUAACAUCCGGAAACGGGUGCUAAUACCGCAUAGUUUCUUGAUCGCAUGAUCGGAAGGAAAGACGGCCUUUGUGCUGUCGCUUAUGGAUGGACCCGCGGCGUAUUGGUUAAGUUGGUGAGGUAACGGCUCACCAAGACGAUGAUACGUAGCCGACCUGAGAGGGUGAUCGGCCACAUUGGGACUGAGACAGGCCCAAACUCCUACGGGAGGCAGCAGUAGGGAAUCUUCCGCAAUGGACGAAAGUCUGACGGAGCAACGCCGCGUGAGUGAAGAAAAGGUUUUCGGAUCGUAAAACUCUGUUGUCAGAGAAGAACAAGUUGGAGAGUAACUGCUCCAGCCUUGACGGUAUCUGACCAGAAAGCCACGGCUAACUACGUGCCAGCCGCUGC